rnacentral:rRNA from 1 species
UACGUAGGGUGCGAGCGUUGUCCGGAAUUACUGGGCGUAAAGAGCUCGUAGGCGGUUUGUCGCGUCGUCCGUGAAAACUCGGAGCUUAACUCCGGGCGUGCGGGCGAUACGGGCAGACUUGAGUACUACAGGGGAGACUGGAAUUCCUGGUGUAGCGGUGAAAUGCGCAGAUAUCAGGAGGAACACCGGUGGCGAAGGCGGGUCUCUGGGUAGUAACUGACGCUGAGGAGCGAAAGCAUGGGUAGCGAACAGGAUUAGAUACCCCCGUAGUCCCUGA